rnacentral:rRNA from 1 species
CCUACGGGUGGCAGCAGUGGGGAAUAUUGGGCAAUGGGCGCAAGCCUGACCCAGCAACGCCGCGUGAAGGAAGAAGGCUUUCGGGUUGUAAACUUCUUUUCUGAGGGACGAAGAAAGUGACGGUACCUCAGGAAUAAGCCACGGCUAACUACGUGCCAGCAGCCGCGGUAAUACGUAGGUGGCAAGCGUUCUCCGGAUUUAUUGGGUGUAAAGGGAGUGUAGGCGGGAAAGCAAGUCAGAGGUGAAAACUCAGGGCUCAACCCUGAGCCUGCAUUUGAAACUGUUUUUCUUGAGUGCUGGAGAGGCAAUCGGAAUUCCGUGUGUAGCGGUGAAAUGCGUAGAUAUACGGAGGAACACCAGUGGCGAAGGCGGAUUGCUGGACAGUAACUGACACUGAGGCUCGAAAGUGUGGGUAUCAAACAGGAUUAGAUACCCUUGUAGUC